rnacentral:lncRNA from 10 species
AGUGCGGCAGCGGCUGUCGGCCAGCCGGAGUUGGCGCCGCGGCCUGCCCGGCGCAGCCGCUGUCCACCUGCCAGCGGGGGAGGGGCGCGGCCGGCGCGCGGGUCAGAGGUCGCCCGGCCGCCGCCGGCGUCAUUCAUAAGGCCUGGCGCUGGGCGGCCGAGGCCAGGCCUGCUUGGGGGCCAGGCCGCGGGGCCUCCUGGGUUUUCCCAGCCGCACUCAGGAGGAUGCCGGGCCCGGCGCAAGGGGUGGCUGGGAAGGGGCGCUCAGUGUCCACCCCUUUGCUGGGCCCUAGCCCUGGGCUCCUGCCAGUAGUAAGAGCUGGCACCCACUUAACGCUCCUUCGCACCACACUCCCAUCGCGUAGGUGCUACCAUCAUCACUCCCAUUGCACAGAUGAGGAAUCUGGGGUACAGCCAGGCAGAUUCCCUGCUCCUGUUCCCCGUCUGUAUUUCCUGUCUGGGCAAUGCGAAGGGAACCUGCCCCUUCCUUCAGGAUCCUCUUUCAGUACACACUUAGCAGAGGACAGUCGGGGUUUCCCAACUGCGACACUACUGACGAUCAACCACAGUUCCAGGGAGGGAGAGUCAGAGCCUUUCUGUGAACUAUGGGGAAAUGGCUGACCACUCCGCCUCUGGAUGGAUAGAUACAUGGACAGCUGGUUUAAGUUUUGACAAAGAAAAACCCCUCCUGGAACCUCAGUCUGGAAUACAACUGUAGAACCAAUUAAGACUGGAGUAGGAAGCUGGAAAGAAGACGUGGGACAGCCAACCCACUGGACAGGGCAAGAGGCCACUUCUGGGGGAGAGUGGACAAAGUUGCUUCAGUCCACCAGAGACAAAAGCACAAACAAUCAUUCUAAAUGAAGUGCUUUUAAUUUUCAGACCAAACAUUUUUAAUAUAAAAACAUUUUGAUAAUAUACAAACAGCAAUCACAACAGCAUCCACAUGGCAGCAAGGGGACCAGGGCACAGAGAGGGGGAGCGGGCUGGGGAGGGACAGUUUUCAGGGUCCCAGUUGCUUCCCUGGCUUGAAA